GCAUUUCUGAAGAUCACAGAAUCACUUCUUUUUUUCAACAUGUCAGAGAACUGGAUUUUGUUUUCAAAUUAUGGUUUAAAUAGGAAUCUAGUAUUUCAUGGAAGAAAGACUUCUACAGAUUUCUUCUUUUUUUUCGGGGGGGGGGGCGGGAAUGUCAUUACACAAAUUAUUUCUCAUUUUGCAUUGUGUGGUAGAGAAUCAUGUUGUCAAAUGGUAAAAGUAGCUGAUUUAAAACUGGAGAACACUGUUCACAUUUCUCGAGUAUAUUUCUGUUGGCACUUUUGUAUUUUUGGUUACUAAAGAGUUUCCUCCUUUAGAAAUACAAUCCCAGAUUGCUAACAGAGCCAGUCUGGUGUUUCUGAGAAGAGAAGGGCUUUUCCUUUGAUGUGAUCUCUGAGUAGUUUCACACACUUAAACACCUGGAAAUCAAAACAUCUUAAUUGACUGAACACUUUUCCUGCAUUUUCUGUAAUUACUGCCUCCUUGGAAAACAGAGAUUUUUAUCAACUAAUCUGAGAAAAAGUUAUAAAAUGUCAGAUGCCAUGAAGCCUAUAUUCAAGGACUUCCAAGGGAGUCCAGAAGAUCAAAUUGCCAGGACAAGGUUUCUACUUGCUGGUCAUGCCAUGAGGCUCAGGACAAGGCUGACGUUUUUGUAGAAGCUCUAACCAGUGUGAUGAAUCAGGCUGGAUCAAGAUAUUUGCAGAAGGAACUAAGCUCAUAGUAACUCCCCCGGAUAAAAGCCCUGAUGAAGACACUUCCCCCAAGCCCACGAUUUUUCUUCCUUCACCUGCGGAAAGAACACUCCAUAAGACUGGAACAUAUCUUUGUCUUCUUGAAGAUUUUUUCCCUGAUGUUAUCAAGGUAGAUUGGAAAGAGAAAAAUGGCAAAACAAUUCUGAAAUCCCAGCAGGGAAACACCAUGAAGACCAAGGACACGUACAUGAAAUACACCUGGCUGACUGUGACAGAAAAGUCAAUGGAUAAAGAACACAAAUGUAUUGUCAAACACGAGAAGAAUAAAGGAGGGGUUGAUCAAGAGAUUCUGUUUCCUUCAAUAAACACAGAACUCUCUGCUAUUAAUUCUACAGAAGCUUCGCUGAAAGAUGAAAAUGACCCCCUACAGCUGCAGCUUGUGACCAGCUCUGCCUACUACACCUACGUCAUCCUCCUCGUCAAGAGCGUGGUCUACACCAUCAUCAUCACCUACUGUCUGCUUGGGAGACCAGCACUCUGCCGCAAUGAGAAGAGUUCCUAACACAUGGUGGCCCAAGGCUCCACUUUUCUUUACUGGCUACUGUCACUAGCGGUGUCUGCUGAGGCUCUAGCGGGGCUUUCUUUCUGGGUUUGGGUUAUUUCAGUUCACAUGUCUUUUUCUAUGUGUCAUCAUUGCAGAACAGGCUUACAAUCCGCCGGGCAAACAGGAAAUGUCACUCUGCACCAAGAACAGACUCUGCCAUGAGUCAGGGGCGGGGCCGGGGGCACCCACGGGGGCUUCAGCACCGCUCUCUCCUUCACGCCCACCAGCCCGUCAGCCACCCCGCACCCUCGCCUCUGAGUACCGCUGGUGUGCAGCUUCUGUAGCGGCCCCUGGGGCUCUGUAUCCAGAUAACUGCCUGGAGGCCUUUUAUUUUACAUACAUGGACGCCUUCAUCCUUGCUGCCUGAACUUUGUGCUAUUUUUCAUAAUAGGUACAAUAAAAACAAUCAAAAGCCU